CUGCACAGCAUGGAACCCGGAGAGGAGUAAGGCACAGCUGGAGGGGGGGUCAGAGGCCACCCCAAAAGGUCCUGGAGGGAAUCGUGUUUUGAACCGAGGUCUUGCUCCUGUGCAGCUUUAAACUAAGUAUUGAAGAGAAGGGAAAAGAAGGAAAAGGAUCGGAAAGUGUGAAUCUGGAUAGGCAAGAGCUUGCUACGGCAACCUUCCCCACUGUGUAAGGCCUGUGACAGCUCAGCUCCGGGUCAGAUGUGAAGCAGAACCCAAGGAACAGUUUGGAUCAGACACCUCAUUUUCCAUCAAGAAGUCAAGAGUGCCUUGCUGCACUUGGUUGCUGGCCAUGCUGCCUCACUGCAGACACAGCGUGGUUAGCACUGCAGCUAUCUGAGCAUUGCAGCCUGAGACUAUUGGCAUGUUCCACUGCAGCAAUCUGUCCGUACUGGAAACCAUCUCACCUCCUCCGGGAGGUGCGUGAAGCCCUGCUGCUACAAAGCACUCCCAAAAGCAGAGAUGUGUUUUACUCACGUUUUACUCUAUUUUCUGAACUGUGACUUUGCAAGGUACAGCCUUCCACUCCAAAGAGGAGCAGGGUGGAUGCUGCAGAAGGAAUGCACUAAGUCCCCGCCCCUGGCUGCAGGGCAGCAGCAGGUAUGGCUAUAAACUCAAGUGGGAGAAACUGUGCCCAAAGGAUGCCUUCCUCACACUCCUUAGCAGUUAUUCUGGAGAUGUUAGAUCUUGUGAAGUCAUCAUUUGGUAGUUGGGAUUUUUGGAACUGAUUUAAUCUCAGCCACAUGCAUGUAAGCCUGGAGUAAACCCACUGAUCUCAAAGCAGUUACUCCAGAUCUCAGCCCAGAUAAGAGUCCAAGUAGAUGCAUACAUACAGAGCAGUUAUGAAAAGCGCUGCCUGGAAGCAGCCUGUCAAUGCAUGGAAUAAAUACUGCCCCAUUCAGGGGCUGUUAAUGCAAUGAAGGGGAUUAUCUCAAAGCUAUGCUGAGAGCAGAAAGUGCAGUCGGCUUUGACAUUUUGCCCCGGAGGCUCUUUCUGGGCUGCAAACCUCCUUCUUGAUUUCCAGCACUUAGUUCAGAUGGCUCCCUUUCCCUCCAUAAAAACUAACCCUCACUUUUGAGCCACUCUGAAGCGAGUUUAACCCUCACAUACAUCGCUUAAAUUAAGUGCACACAUUGCUGCUGCGGGGAGGUGCAGCUUGGAGGACGAUGCUCUCUGCUGUCUGAUCCAAAUGCUGAAAACAAACACUGGACUCUCUUAAAGUCACUCACAAACUUCCCAGUCCAGACCCAUGCACACAUUCCUAGGCACAACACGCUCCCAGUGAAGCUGCUCCAGCUCCACAGCAUGAGCUGAGGAUACAUGCCAAAGCCAUCUGAACUGCACAGGCAGGGCUGUUGCUGCAGGGGAAAAAGCUGGAAAGGCAGUUCAUCCCCAUUAAACAGAAUGGCUGCACUCACACUUCUCUAAUGGGGAGUCAUUGAUUGCAAAAAGCAUGCUCUGCACACCCUUUGGGCCACUCCUGCCUCUCAUUCUCACGGUCAGAUGCAGAAGGGAGCAACGGCAAAACACACAUAGCCAAAGUGGCUCAUUCUGCCCCAGAACAGUGCCCACAGUCAUGGAGGUCCAGUGUGAGUGGUGCUGGCAGUUAGUAAAGAUGCUGUUAAAUGAAAAAUGUCAAGGUUUUCAAGGUUGGAGCUGUUUAGGGUCAGGUGAAAAUCAAGACUUUUAAAAAAUGUUUUUGUCUGCAAAAAUAGUACGUGUGCACAUUAGCUUGCAUCUGGGUCACCCAGAAUAAACAGAGAAACAAAACUGAGGGGCUCUCCUUGUCACCUGGAUCACCCAGGUACACAUCUCUGUGCUAGGUCAGGGUCAGAGCUGGGGAUGUGAAACAGAGUUCACCUGUAGGGCUCCAAGCCUGGGGUCCCCAAAACUCUCUAGUCACCAAACUCUACCUGCUGACCCGGAAUAACCACACUCUACCAAGCCAAACUGCUCUCAUGCUAAUCUGGAAGAGUGUAGGUCCAGUGCUAAUGAACCUGGAAAAAUGAAGGUGUGCAGUAGGUGGAGUAUGUUAUCCCAGCGCUCACAUGAGUAUCCCCAUUGCUCUGAUAAAAGCAAUUCCAGGCCGCAUGCAUCCUAUCGUCCAUUUCUGUCAUUUGUGUCCUUUUGACCAUAAGGUCCAUCUUGGCUAGUCAGUACACCCUGGCAAAAUGUUUUGCAUGAACUAAUUUUCCCAUUUUCCAUUUGUAUCAAAUCUUACUUUCUCGACCAGACAGGAUCUAUGAGGGAAAAGACUCUUGGAACAGUCACUUUAUUUACACUAAGUGUCCAAAGGCAAGCAGGAUGUGGGAUGUGCCUCUGUUACCUGUAGCCAGCCAGCAUUAUUCCCUAUGCAUCCCUGCUUCCUUGGUAGCACCAUGCCUUGGAGACAAAAGGAAAGCAUUCUUUGAAAUGCUUGUCUCCAUGAUCACACGGAAUGGAUACAAUUUAUUUAUUUAUUGCCAAUUCUUGGAUACUAAGGCUUUUUAAAGAUGUGAGACCCACCACCAAUGGUAUUUAUUGUACAAAACAGAUGUUGUUGGGGAAAAAAAAAAAAAAAACAAGCCUCACAAUGCACUACAAUUACUGUGCUAACAAAGUAACACUAGUAUGUUUAGCUUACUACUAAGAGGCCUUUUCCUGGAAUAAGGUCUACAAGUCAUAAUACAAAAACACAGAGAACUAUAAACACUGGCAGUAUACAGGUAAUUUGGAAACAUACCCUUAUGAGACAGUGCUAAACUUUCCUUCUGGCUCUAAGUUAAAAUCUGUAGACCUAUACUAAAGACACUUAGACAUGAUUGGUUAAGUCAUCAAUAUGAUUCACCUCCAUGAGCAACGCCAUCCUCUAUUCAGAGCACAGUGUAAUUACAGAAAAUCCAGGAGCUCCUAUUUUCCUUAUUAGAAAGAAAACACAAAGUAGAAAUGAAUGAAAUAGCCUUCGAGGGGCUAUUUAACAUUUGGGCACAUUUCCCUUCCCUCCCUUCCAAUGUAAGUCAUGUGAUAAACAAAUUCACUUCA